rnacentral:rRNA from 1 species
UACGGGGGGGGCAAGCGUUGUUCGGAAUUACUGGGCGUAAAGGGCUGGUAGGCGGCCAACUAAGUCGGAUGUGAAAUCCCCAGGCUUAACCUGGGAACUGCAUCCGAUACUGGUCGGCUUGAAUCCGGGAGAGGGAUGCAGAAUUCCAGGUGUAGCGGUGAAAUGCGUAGAUAUCUGGAGGAACACCGGUGGCGAAGGCGGCAUCCUGGACCGACACUGACACUGAGGAGCGAAAGCCAGGGGAGCAAACGGG